CCUACGUGAGGCAGCAGUGGGGAAUAUUGCACAAUGGGCGAAAGCCUGAUGCAGCAACGCCGCGUGAAGGAAGAAGGGUUUCGGCUCGUAAACUUCUAUCAACAGGGACGAAAGACAUGACGGUACCUGAAUAAGAAGCCCCGGCUAACUACGUGACAGCAGCCGCGGUAAUACGUAGGGGGCGAGCGUUAUCCGGAUUCACUGGGUGUAAAGGGAGCGUAGACGGCCAUGCAAGCCAGGGGUGAAAGCCCGGGGCCCAACCCCGGGACUGCCCUUGGAACUGUGAGGCUAGAGUGCGGGAGGGGCAGGCGGAAUUCCUGGGGUAGCGGUGAAAUGCGUAGAUAUCAGGAGGAACACCGGCGGCGAAGGCGGCCUGCUGGACUGCGACUGACGUUGAGGCUCGAAAGCGUGGGGAGCGAACAGGAUUAGAUACCCGAGUAGUC
rnacentral:rRNA from 1 species